rnacentral:lncRNA from 1 species
GUUCGAUCCAUCAUGAAUGUCACUAAUUUAAUUAUUAUUUCUUUAGGAGCAAGAUUUGAUUUCUGAAAUUUAAAUUAGAUUUUUUCUAAAGUUGGUUUCACCAUACCAUAUAAGAUAUGAAAUGGUGGACAAGUUAGAGGAAAGGUCUGUGAGAGCUCAUUUAUAAGGUAUCCCAAAAGGUGUUUGAGAUAUAUCUUUCUCUUUCCAAUGG